rnacentral:lncRNA from 1 species
AUCUAAUUCAACAUAUCUUCCUGUCUAACUGAUUAUAUCUGUAUCUCUUUGACUUUCUCCAUCAUCUCAGUGGAAGAAGACACAGAAGAAAGCUCACGGUCAGGCCACGACUCCAUUUCUACAGCCACAGACCUCACUCUUCCACCCUCCAACACUGAGAUCAACGGAGAACGCACCAAAGACGAUAAGAAAAAGGACAAGAAAGACAAGAACAAAGCCAAGAAGGGAGUGCUGAAGGGCCUGGGCGACAUGUUCAGGUUUGGCAAAAACCGCAAAGACGAAAAAAUGGAGCGCAAGGGUUCGAGUAAAAGCAAGAUGGAGGAGAUGACGGCCAGCGAGGAGGAGAUGCAAAGAAUGAGACUGGAACAGGAGAGGAUUCAGGCAAAGACGCGCGAGCUGCGGGAGCGUCAGGCCAAAGAGCGCGAGUAUGCAGAGAUCCAGGACUUCAGCCGGCCGCUGAGCUCAGACGAGGAGCACACCUACGCCGGCAUCGGCUCUCUGGACUCGUCUCUGGACAGCAGUCUAGAUCUGAGCCUCACGCCAGGACAGGAGCGUCCGUUGGGCCCUAGAGAGCCACCGCUGGCCCUUGAGACCCUGUACGCCCAGGUCAACAAGCCCCGCAGCAACCGGACGGCCCCUGCAGACAGAGACAAACAGCGUGACAAAGAAGCUGUCUGGCCCGAUUAGAGAGGCUGAGGGUGUGUGUAUGUAUGGCAUAGGGGCCCUUAAGUGCGCAGUGGGGGUCCCGAUGAGUGUGCCUGGAACCCCAAUGGGAAGUCAGAGGUGGUGCCCCGUUUACCUCCUGUAUAUGAGCACCUGCGCACACACACACACUUUCCCUUGGGAGAUGCAGAGAGCUUCUGUGAAGACUAAAGCGGAGAUGAUAAAUUAUGUUGAGGUGGUGAAGAAAUCCUUCAUUUCUGAAAUGCACACACACUCCAAAUCUAGUCCAGUGGUUCCCAAAAUGGGGGUCGGGACCCACCCAAGGGGUUGUGGGACAAUGAGCCGGGUCUCUUGAAGAUUUCCAAAAUAGUUGAAUGUUAGUAAUGUAAAAUGUUAAUAAUAAGCAUUAAAAAUCAAAUGCAAAUAAAAAGCCACCAGCCUUUCGAUUGAUUGAUUUAUUUUUUUGCGAUGCAAUGAUUACGUUAACAUUAAUAUAUAUAUAUAUAUAUAUUAAA